AGACGUGAGGGCAAUCUGGCCGCAACAUCUGUCACCCUGUGGGUCGCCAGGGUUGAUUCAGCUGAUCUGGCUGGCCUGCAGGUGUCCCUUCCCUCCCCCCCUGCUCCGUGUGCUUCUUCCUGAGGCACUCAGUCAAAGAGGAUGACCUUCGCCGAAAGAGAGGGGCCGUCCUCUGUCCAGGGUAGAGGCUAGGACCUCCAAACAAGCUCCUCCAAACUCCUCGACGACAGAAGAGUCCUCCUGUCCUAAUGU
rnacentral:sRNA from 1 species